AUUGAACGCUGGCGGAAUGCUUUACACAUGCAAGUCGAACGGCAGCACGGACUUCGGUCUGGUGGCGAGUGGCGAACGGGUGAGUAAUAUAUCGGAACGUGCCCAGUCGUGGGGGAUAACGUAGUGAAAAUUACGCUAAUACCGCAUACGAUCUAUGGAUGAAAGCGGGGGAUCGCAAGACCUCGCGCGAUUGGAGCGGCCGAUAUCAGAUUAGGUAGUUGGUGAGGUAGAGGCUCACCAAGCCGACGAUCUGUAGCUGGCCUGAGAGGACGACCAGCCACACUGGAACUGAGACACGGUCCAGACUCCUACGGGAGGCAGCAGUGGGGAAUUUUGGACAAUGGACGCAAGUCUGAUCCAGCCAUUCCGCGUGAAGGACGAAGGCCUUCGGGUUGUAAACUGCUUUUGUACAGAACGAAAAGGUCUCUAUUAAUACUAGGGGCUCAUGACGGUACUGUAAGAAUAAGCACCGGCUAACUACGUGCCAGCAGCCGCCGUAA
rnacentral:rRNA from 1 species